rnacentral:rRNA from 1 species
ACUGCUCAGUAACACGUGGACAACCUGCCCUUAGGACGGGUAUAAACCCGGGAACUGGGUAUAAUUCCCGAUAGAUCUCGUCUGCUGGAAUGCAUCGAGAUCCAAAGCUCCGGCGCCUAAGGAUGGGUCUGCGGCCUAUCAGGUAGUAGUGGGUGUAGCGUACCUACUAGCCUACAACGGGUACGGGUUGUGAGAGCAAGAGCCCGGAGAUGGAUUCUGAGACACGAAUCCAGGCCCUACGGGGUGCAGCAGGCGCGAAAACUUUACAAUGCUGGGAACAGCGAUAAGGGAACCUCGAGUGCCAGGUUACAAAUCUGGCUGUCGUGAUGCCUAAAAAGCAUUAUAUAGCAAGGGCCGGGCAAGACCGGUGCCAGCAGCCGCGGUAAUACGAU